CCUACGGGAGGCAGCAGUGGGGAAUAUUGGACAAUGGGCGCAAGCCUGAUCCAGCCAUACCGCGUGUGUGAAGAAGGCCUUCGGGUUGUAAAGCACUUUAAGCAGGGAGAAAAAGUUAUAAGUUAAUACCUUAUAACCGUGAUGUUACCUGCAGAAUAAGCACCGGCUAAUUCCGUGCCAGCAGCCGCGGUAAUACGGAAGGUGCAAGCGUUAAUCGGAAUUACUGGGCGUAAAGCGCGCGUAGGUGGUUUGUUAAGUUGGAUGUGAAAGCCCUGGGCUCAACCUAGGAACUGCAUCCAAAACUAACUCACUAGAGUACGAUAGAGGGAGGUAGAAUUCAUAGUGUAGCGGUGGAAUGCGUAGAUAUUAUGAAGAAUACCAGUGGCGAAGGCGGCCUCCUGGAUCUGUACUGACACUGAGGUGCGAAAGCGUGGGUAGCGAACAGGAUUAGAUACCCUGGUAGUCCACGCCGUAAACGAUGACAACUAGCUGUUGGAAGACAACGUCUUUCAGUGGCGCAGCUAACGUUUUAAGUUGUCCGCCUGGGGAGUACGGCCGCAAGGCUAAAACUCAAAGGAAUGACGG
rnacentral:rRNA from 1 species